UUUCGAAAUAAAUAUCCCCUUCCUUCCUUCCUUCGAAUUCCGACGGAGGUGAGAGAUGGAGAGUAUUUCCACGCCGCCGCAGCCAUGGAUUCGACCAAGCGAGCUGUCCCCCAAGGUUCCCCGCGACGAAGCCCCAGGGCCAUGGAGGGCGACGAGAACGCGGCCCGAGGCACUCCGCCGCGGCGGGGCCCGCGUCCCCGCAGAGGAAGAAGGUUCUGGGGGAGCGGAACGGUUCAAUACCUUCAGCGAGGUAUUCCCAAAGGUCUCGUAAGGUCAAGGUGCCCGUGUCACAACGUAUGCCUUCAGUUCCACCCAGGCGAGUGCCAGUAUUAGCUCCACAUAAUACUGUGCCACUGCCGGUGUUCCAUUCAGUGCAACCUGUGCAACGGAUUGUGCCCAAACAAGAGUCAUCUGCCUGCUUGGAGCUUCCUGUGCAAUCCUUGUUGUCAGAGUCAGAUCAAUCUGUGUGCCUCAAUGUUCCAUCAAUUGGUCAUAGGGAUCGUGAUCAGAAAGUUGAGCAAGAGGAUGUGUGUGCCUCAAUGUUCCAUCAAUUGGUCAUAGGGAUCGUGAUCAGAAAGUUCAGCAAGAGGAUGGUGGCGUUGAAAGGGCUUCAGAUGGCAGUACUGUGGAUCAUAAAGACACUGACAGAUCAAAGCCACCGGUGGUUCAGUUGCUCGGAGAGUUCUCAUUUGUCGAUGCAGAUAGCUCAAGACGAGGUCUGUCAAAGACUCAAUUCAGCAUGGUGGAGACGUCACGGUUCAGGAAUCCAUGUCUUCGAGGAAGCGUGUGGUCAAGACGCAAAAGGAUUCUGACAAAAUGCAAACCCCUGGUCUUCAAGCAGCAAGAAAGAAGGAGACUGCAAGAGCAGAAGAAGAGAAGGUGGGUGCUACACCGACUCCACCGAGGCGUUCAAAUCGUCUCCGUAAACUGGCUUCUCCUUGAGCCAAGACAGACACGGUGCAUUUUAAGUUGAUGUCGGACGCUGAUUCGUCAUGUGGUGCUGGGAGCUGUGGGAGACAUCGCCUAGUUGUAACCCAACGAUGCUAAGAUUUGGUGCUGUAGCUGUAACAGGUUAACUAGUGUAGAAGAAGGCUUGCAGUGUGUUUGGUUUCCCAGAAAACCUGUAUAAUCUGCAUUUGACAUUAUUGUACUGUUUACUCUUUACCUGCCCCUGAAGGUGAAGCAGAGAUUGCUGGUUUGUAUUGAGCACGUUUA